AUUGAACGCUGGCGGAAUGCUUUACACAUGCAAGUCGAACGGCAGCACGGGGCAACCUGGUGGCGAGUGGCGAACGGGUGAGUAAUAUAUCGGAACGUGCCCAAUCGUGGGGGAUAACGUAGCGAAAGUUACGCUAAUACCGCAUACGAUCUACGGAUGAAAGCGGGGGAUCGCAAGACCUCGCGCGAAUGGAGCGGCCGAUAUCAGAGUAGGUAGUUGGUGGGGUAAAGGCUCACCAAGCCAACGAUCUGUAGCUGGGCUGAGAGGACGACCAGCCACACUGGAACUGAGACACGGUCCAGACUCCUACGGGAGGCAGCAGUGGGGAAUUUUGGACAAUGGGCGCAAGCCUGAUCCAGCCAUUCCGCGUGCAGGAUGAAGGCCUUCGGGUUGUAAACUGCUUUUGUACGGAACGAAACGGUCUGCCCUAAUACGGUGGGCUAAUGACGGUACCGUAAGAAUAAGCACCGGCUAACUACGUGCCAGCCGCCGCGGUAACAC
rnacentral:rRNA from 1 species